rnacentral:tRNA from 1 species
GGUGGCUCAGUGGUAGAGUGUUUGCCUUGCAAGCAUGAGGUCCUGGGUUCCAUUCCUCAGCACCA